UAGAAUAGGGCACAGGCUCUCAGGCUGACUGGGACCAGGAUCUGCAUGCUGGUUUUCCAUAUCCCUUUCUGCAGGUUUUCAUGGCAUUUCUAUAACCCCAAAGCAGGAGAGGAGUCUCAUAAGUACAACAGGUUUUCUAUGGUUGGAAUGCCAUGAAUGGGAAGUAAGGCAUGGGUCAGGGGGUUGUUUCAGAUCUUUGUACAGCCAGGAAUGAAACCCUGCUGCUCUCUACUUUCUGAGCCAAACCCUUGACCUAGACCUGCCCUGACUCCUGUUUCAAUGCAGAUGGUUUCAGCCCUCUGUGUCUGCUAAGGCCCUUGAUACUUCCCAUUGGAUAUCUGAAACCCUAUAUAUUUUGUAUAUAUUUCAUAUGUGUGUAAAAUUCAAGCUGUGUGGCAACCUCUGCCAUUGGAUAUCCCACCAUGCCUGGUCUGUAGGUGAGAUCUCAGCUUGUGGUCAGGAGUGUCUAGAGGGAGAGAUGGAGACAAUAUUUUUGCUUAUAAAAUUGCUCAUAAAUGGAAAGAAAUUUGCAUCAAGCUGAACCACUUGCAUCAAUCCCCCAAAAGCUUGAAGUACUGUUUUGCUGUCUAAAUUUUAGCUGUUAAUGCUGCCUUUGCUGUCAACCAGGUCAAAAAUCCUGCAUAAUUCCCCGUAUCUAUCUCACUUCCCAGCAGAGAGAAAUGAAACCCCUUCCUGGACCUUGGAUGAGUGUGAGGGAAAGACCCACUUUCUGAAGCCUCUAGGGAGGAACGUGGCCUCAACAGAGGGAGAAGGAGGUACUUAGCACUUACGAAAUGCAAGCUCAGGGCAGGCUGUGAGGAACAUCUACACUUAGAGAAGUCUUUCUGGAAAGCCAGUGGAAAUCAUUUGCUCAAAUAUUAGUGAUUUGUGAGAUAAUCUAUUAUAGAUUAAUCAUUUCAGUCUUAUGGUACAAUGUCAAAAAUAAAUUGGGGUUAUGAAGCUGGAGGGGAGCCACUUGGGGGUCGUGUGUUCUCACUGACACUCCUUAUUUGACUUUGAAAACAGCGUCAUGACGAGAUUUUUGAAGCUGAUUGUUACCCCAUGGAAU